AAAUUGAAGAGUUUGAUCAUGGCUCAGAUUGAACGCUGGCGGCAGGCCUAACACAUGCAAGUCGAACGGUAACAGGAAGCAGCUUGCUGCUUUGCUGACGAGUGGCGGACGGGUGAGUAAUGUCUGGGAAACUGCCUGAUGGAGGGGGAUAACUACUGGAAACGGUAGCUAAUACCGCAUA
rnacentral:rRNA from 1 species